CGAAACUGAGGCUCAUUAAAGAGGCUGUGGACCUCCCUCUGGUCUGCUGUGGGCAGAACAGUCCCCUGUGUCUACCUGACUUUGUGACAGUCUUUGAAAGAAUAUGUGGAAUUACCUGCAUCUUCUAUGACCCUGUGAUGGUAUUUCUCUUUUAUGUCUACUCUGUACAAAGCUCUGGAAAAAUUAUUUGUUUCUUCUAGGGCUCAGUUUAGGCAACUCAUCUGUGCUCAUGGGAUCAGUGUCCACUGCUCCAGCUGAGAGCUUGGUGACAAUACAGGAACUAGAGCUCUUUAUUCUAGGCCACCCAAGUUCCCAUUGCUUCAAGAUGCCUUCCCUGGCUUCCUGCCUGAACAAAGGGCCACUCAGCAGUGUGGUGUUUUAUAUCCUUUCCUGUGAUUAUGUGAUCUCAUUGGGUCUCUCCUUAGACAAACCCUUUGUUCCUUAAUAAUCUCCAUGAUGACAAUGCCUGCCCUCAUCUGCUGUCACCACUGCAUCUGCAGAGCUAAUGUGCAUGUAUGCAACAGCCCUGGGUGGCAUGUGCAGAACUACCUUCAAGAGGGUCUGCCUCUCUCCAGGGCCCUUGCCGUGGCUCUAGUAAUAACCCCAGACACCACAGAGGCCACAGAAGAUUGUAUAAAGAUGGAAGAAUUAUCUUGAGCCUGAGUGUGGGGAGAACAGCCACCAGCCCCUCCGUAGCUAGCUGGAUGUGAAGGAGAAUGAAGUCAUCAGGACUCACUUCACUAUUUUUCUGUCUAUAAAGAAGAAAAGCACUCACCCUGUGACAAGUUCAUGAUUUAAAACAUGGAAACUGAUCUGAAGCAUCAGAGCAUGUGUAUUUAAAGAAUAAUGAGCAUAACGGGUUUUGCUAGGUAGCUCAGGAUAUCUCUGAAUUUAUGAUCCUCCUUGCCUCAACCAUGUGAAUGCUGGGACUACAAGUAUAUAUUCCACAGCUGCCCAUAAGUGCACAACUUCUCAAAGCACUUAAUCAACUUUAAUGUAUGGAGCUAAUAUUGAGCAUGAACAAUCCUAAGAAGUACCAUAAAAGAGAAAAAUUCUCCAAAAUGCUGUGAAACUAUAGAGAUCCUGUUUAAGUACAAUGCAACCGAAUGAGUAAAGCAACUAGAAAUUAAAAAGCCUACUUUUGAGAAAACUCUUGGCUUCAAAUGAUUUAAACAGCCAUGAUAGUGAGGGGCAGUCAGAACAUGCGGUGCCACAGACAUUUUAAGUCUAAUGAAAUUCGUACUCCGGAGCGGCUGAGCACAGCUGAAAGCAGGGGAUCAGGUAUUCGCUUGUAGAAGAUGUGACAAUGGAUUACAGAGCACAGCCAAGGCAAGCGGGACGGGGGAAAGGAAAUGGUCAGAGGGCAAAGUGCAGAAUAAAAGGAACAGAGGCAACAGGCUGAGGUGAUUGCUAAAAAGCAAAGGGCAGGUGGGUAAGGUGGUAUACACUUGGAAACUGAGGCAGGAGGUAAAAAGGAAGACAGAUGUGCCCUGUCAAAGUAAAGGGAAUACAAUCAUCAAAAUAAAGGUUCAUUUUUAAUGGACACAUGGUUUCCUAGGCAAACAGGGAGAAUUAAAAGGAGAAAUUAAAAUAUGUCAGUAACUGUAGAAACUGUAGAUGCUGAAAGGACACUGUGGGGUGGCCUGGCUCUUCUAAGAAGCCCAGUGCCCACACACUGCAGGGCCACUUUCU